rnacentral:rRNA from 1 species
AGUGAGCGCUGGCGGUAGGCCUAACACAUGCAAGUCGAACGGCAGCACAGUAAGAGCUUGCUCUUACGGGUGGCGAGUGGCGGACGGGUGAGGAAUACAUCGGAAUCUACUUUUUCGUGGGGGAUAACGUAGGGAAACUUACGCUAAUACCGCAUACGACCUACGGGUGAAAGCAGGGGAUCUUCGGACCUUGCGCGAUUGAAUGAGCCGAUGUCGGAUUAGCUAGUUGGCGGGGUAAAGGCCCACCAAGGCGACGAUCCGUAGCUGGUCUGAGAAGAUGAUCAGCCACACUGGAACUGAGACACGGUCCAGACUCCUACGGGAGGCAGCAGUGGGGAAUAUUGGACAAUGGGCGCAAGCCUGAUCCAGCCAUACCGCGUGGGUGAAGAAGGCCUUCGGGUUGUAAAGCCCUUUUGUUGGGAAAGAAAAGCAGCAGGUUAAUACCCCGCUGUUCUGACGGUACCCAAAGAAUAAGCACCGGCUAACUUCGUG